GACGAACGCUGGCGGCGUGCUUAACACAUGCAAGUCGAGCGGAAAGGCCCUUCGGGGUACUCGAGCGGCGAACGGGUGAGUAACACGUGAGUAACCUGCCCCAGACUUUGGGAUAACCCUCGGAAACGGGGGCUAAUACCGGAUACGACACAGCUUCGCAUGGGGUCUGUGUGGAAAGUUUUUCGGUUUGGGAUGGGCUCGCGGCCUAUCAGCUUGUUGGUGGGGUGAUGGCCUACCAAGGCGACGACGGGUAGCCGGCCUGAGAGGGCGACCGGCCACACUGGGACUGAGACACGGCCCAGACUCCGACGGGAGGCAGCAGUGGGGAAUAUUGCACAAUGGGCGGAAGCCUGAUGCAGCGACGCCGCGUGAGGGAUGACGGCCUUCGGGUUGUAAACCUCUUUCAGCAGGGACGAAGCGUAAGUGACGGUACCUGCAGAAGAAGCGCCGGCCAACUACGUGC
rnacentral:rRNA from 1 species